AUCCCCAGCAAUGGGCAAAGAGACACCUUGUUGUUGGUGUUGUUCUUAUAUCAGUCAUGGGCAGAGCAGAUGAUAGUUCUUUGUUCAUCCUAACUUGAUGCCUGGCUUGAUGGCCAAAGCUUUCUUAUGCCCAGGACUCAUAA